UACGAAGGGGGCUAGCGUUGUUCGGAUUUACUGGGCGUAAAGCGCACGUAGGCGGAUCGAUCAGUCAGGGGUGAAAUCCCAGAGCUCAACUCUGGAACUGCCUUUGAUACUGUCGAUCUGGAGUAUGGAAGAGGUGAGUGGAAUUCCGAGUGUAGAGGUGAAAUUCGUAGAUAUUCGGAGGAACACCAGUGGCGAAGGCGGCUCACUGGUCCAUUACUGACGCUGAGACGCGAAAGCGUGGGGAGCAAACAGG
rnacentral:rRNA from 1 species